UGUAAUGGCCAGUUUCACCUUUACUUGCUAUCCACCAAUGCGAAACUGUUCUCACAAUUAUUGAAAUUAUCCUAAGCGAAAUUUUGACACUUUGGAUAACAAAAUAGAUACUUCCCAUUCCAUUAAUGGAUUAAAUAGCCAAAAAGAGAAACUCAGUGUAAUAAUAGUUGGAGUUGGGACAUUAAAUAAUGCACAUGAUCGUUUAGCCCUGGUAGCAUGGACGCAUCGAAAUCUAAUGAAGAAUCCCCUUCCAACUUAACUUUAUAUUUUGAUAAAAUGUUUUGCGCGUCCUCAUCCUUUAAAUCAGAAUAAUUUGCAGGAUCCGCUAACCGUAGAAUAGCCUUAGCCUCUCCUAAAAUCUCUGAGUCCUUGUCGUAAAUAUCUUUGGAAUUUGCCUUUUCGUAAAGAUCUUUUAAGUCUAUUUGUGUUUUUAGUUAGCAGCGGUUAAAACUAAAGCAUUACAACACAUGAAUGUCUUACCUUUGAUGGAUCUCGUAAAUUCCUUCACCUCAAAAAGCUGUUCUCGAACGGUGUGUCCUGCACUGUUUACCGUUUCGGGAAUUAUCAAUGGACUAUCGAAUUUCACAUUAAAGUCCUGCUCCCAAUCUGAAUCCGCAUCGUCCGCAAAUAAAUCGCAACGAGAUGAAAAUCGAAUAUCCGAUGAAUCGUUAUUUAUAUGAGUCGUUUGCGUAUUGUCUUGAAUGAUAGGUUCCGACACUUUCGACGACUCUGGCGAAGUAGUCGAUAACUCGUCCCAGCAAAUACCAUCCGAACUCUCAUCUUCUUGCGUAGUCGCACCCAAAGAAGUUUCUUGGAUUUGCUUAGCUAAUUCAUUUAUCCGAAAGGAAUCUGUCUCAUUAUCAUCAUGAAGCUCACCUUCAAUAAAUCCAUUAACUGAAGGUAGUUCAGCACCUACACCACUAGCCUUGCUCCCUUUAUUGGCCGAAUUAAAUUCAUUACUUAACGCAGUUUUUUUACAGUUGCCUUUGUUUAUCUCAUUCGCCGUAAAGUGAGACAACGACGUACUGUCUGCACCUGAAGCGUUGCGUUGUACAGUACUUUUUGACUCAACUCCUAUGAAUGAAAAAAUUCGUUUAGAAAAUUUUCGGGAGUAACUUCUUAAGCUUUCAAAUGCUGAGGGUUUCCUCCAUGAGCCUUGAUCUAUGCAUUCGGAGGUGUUAACUUCUUUCGGUAAUCCAAGCUGUUUAGGGCGCCUCGGUGUAAUAUCUGAACCAUAACUUUUCAUGCCUUUCACAUGCCUUCGUUGUAGAGUCACACCUUCAAAAGAAUGACCCCUAUUCUCUUCGAAAGUAUCUGGAACCUCUGCCAUAUUGACAGAAGAAUAGAAAUAUUCACUUAAAUUUUGUUGACUGCCGUAUACAACUCCCAUUGACGAAAUACUCGUAAAUCUAUAUUUCUCUUAAGCUAAAUUAAAGAAAGAAUUAUUGCCGUAGAGAAAAGACUGUACGCGUCAACCCAUUCAAGUGUGUAAAUAAUGGUAGAAGGCACUUUCGUCAAGACCACGCUUUUGUUAGUAAACAAACGGUCGUCAUGAGAACGACAUAACGAAUUUUGAACAUGAAUCUGUAAAUGAUUUAUAAGGAAAUACAAAGUUCUAUAACAUCAAAGAACGCAAUUCGUUAUGUUGUUUAAGCGCUAUAUAAUUCUGAUAAAUACUUUAUAACGCGUUAAUCGUGGUUACGUUAAAUAGGGCUUUGUAAAGAUGGAAUGCUAGCAGAGAUAGACUAGGAAAUGGAAAAGACUGUCUAUUACAAGUUUUAUUCAUUAAAAAUGUUCAACUUAAAAUAAAUAAGUUAGCCAAAAACUGAAAAGAUGAAUGACUCUACAAAGAUUCAAAGCCACUGCUCGUUCAUGAGCACAAUGUUAGCAUCAAAAGUUGCUAUACGCCUUUCAACUUUCUUUACUUGCUUACGAUAAACUCUUCAACUAACUCUGUUGAUGCAGGGAAAACAUUGUUUUCUUCUUUUCUUUCAUUACAUUGACUUAAAAGUCAAACUCUUUAAAACUAGUCAAAUAAUGUUUGCAGUUUAAAGCUACGUUUUUGAGAGCGUAAAGUGAUGCAACCUUUAAUCUCACAGUUAAUAUAAACAUAGCGAAUAUAAUAGGUUAAUGGAUCAAUGAUUAAUAAUAACUUUUACCUAGCAGAAUUGUUUAUUACUACAGACCAUUUAACUUUUAGCAAAAGGAACUUCCUAAUUCCUUACAAAAGUACGACUGGACAGUUACGGUUAACACAAAUACGUUAGCUCUGAGCAAAAAAAUUAAUUCCACAAAGGUAUACGCAGUAAA